CGAUUUCUUUAAAGGCCUCCAGAAGCAGCGACUCCACCGCCUCCCCGGGCAGGCCCUUCCAGAGUCCGUGAGGGGCUGUGACAGCGGCCACCAUGGCCGGCGGCUCCCUCAGCGCUGCCCGGGGCGGGGCGCCUCUGUUACCGGUUUUAGGAGCUCCCAAAACACACACAAAACGUCUCAUUCAGAAAGGAGACAUCAUUUAAUCUGCGCACGGUGUAUGGUGGAGGUUUCCACAAAUCAAGCGCACCAAGGGGUAAAAAGCUGUAUCUUUUAUGCAGCAACAUUCUCACGAACCUGCCCAUCGAACACAUCUUCUCCGCCUAUCUAAUGCAUAUUUAUUUCGGUGACGUGACCUUGCGCGAUGCUUGAAACACAAGAUUUUUAUUUAUUUUUUUUUCAUUAAGCAACUUCUGUUGUAGAAGUUACCUGGCUACAUCAGUUACGUUUGCAAAAGCGAGCCAAAGCCUGUCUGCUGGGUUGCAUUGACCCUCCAAAGGUGUUAUAUUAGCUGUGCAUCCUGUGUGACCCUCCAGGAAGUUUUUUAAAGCUUCCUGGACAUACCACUUAAAGAAGAUGCCAAAGACAUCCCUCAAAAGGCAGCUCAGCAAUUAUAAAAUUCUUCCAGGAGAUGGAGGAAGCAUGUUGGCUUUCUGGAGCAAACUCUACUUGGCUUUCACAAUGCUGCAUCUUCCUCUGCCUUUUUGGAGCAGCUGCACUCAUGUUUGAAGAGCUGUUGAAAAUUCUUUUGUCUUAAUGGAGUUUUGGGGCUGAGGAGGAGCCUCACUGACAAACUGAUGCAGGAGGUGACAGUGGUGGAAGUCCAGGUGUCUUGGACUGUCGUAGCUUCUAGUAAUUCUGUGAAUUUACUAAGAAGUCUGAAGGAAUCAGACUUGUUUUGGGGUGACCAUCCCUGAGAAGUGUAAUUUUAAAGGCUUUUGCAUCAAGGCACCUUAGUGCUGUGUUGAGCCAUGUCUGCCCUUGGCUAAGAACAAAUGGCUCCUGUUCUUCUGCUGAUACAAAAUGGGUCACAAAACCUGGUCAAAGUAGUGUAGUUUUGUUUUUUUUUAAACAAGUCACUAAGAAAUUGCAACACACCUUCCUCUGUGAUGUAAACCUUCCUCACAAAAAGCAGUUCAGAUGUCCAGCUUUUGUUUUUUGAGGACCUUAAGGGAACCUGCAAAUUAUAAUUAGCACUUUUGGUAUUCUUGGGCACAGUGAUCCGUGGCUGAGCAGUGACUGGAGCAAACUUUGGCUCUUUCUUUGAGUUUGUGCAGGUUUUUCACUGCAUGAUUUUGCUUGCUUUUUGGGGCAGCUCUCGGUUUGAAGAAAACUUGCCAAUUAAGAGUUGUUGCAGAGCUGUUUUUGUUUUUUGAUCUAUUGUAUUUCUAUUCAGAGCAUCAGUGCAGACAGACAGCCAAAAUGUGCGGGGUUUGAGUGGUAUAUUCUGCUGCCUUUAGAGACUGGAGCCCUGAAUUUAGUCAAAAUGCUGCUUAUUUUCCUCUGUUACCAGUCUGCACUGAUGCUCUGAACUGCAACAAAAUAGAUUGAAAAACAAAUUGGUGUGCCCUGGUUCCUUGUGCUGGAUUUCACAUUAUCCUCUGUGUGAGCUGCCUGCUCUGCCCCUUUGGAGCGCCCCAGAGACAAGUAAUGACCCCUCAGCAUCUUUCAGCACUUCAAAGGCUGAAUUACUUUUUGUGGGAGAGGUAAGAAAAUUGAAUUGCAGUCCUUGAUUUUCUGGCUUUCCAAUAACCCUCAGUGUAAGAUCAUCACCUUGGUAACAAGAAAACAGGAAACUGGUAAACAGGCGCAGAAAGUAUUCAGAUUGUGAUUUAAGGCUGUCACUGCUCUUAGCUCCCCAGAGCUAAAAACAGAGGCCACUGUCAUGCCCAAGGGACUGCAGGGCUGAGCAACACAAGAGAUGUAUCCCAGCUUUCUGUCCUGCUUCGUUCACUGAUUUCCAUGAGGACUGUGAAAUGAGCCUUUGAGUGCAAAUGGGCUGGGAUGGGGUGAGCUCCUCUCACAGGGCAGGGAGCUGUCCUGGACUGGCAGCCACGCCUCCUGCAAAGACCACUUUGGAUUUUAGCUCCCCAAGCAGAGAGCUGAGUGUAGGAACAGGAGGGUUGUGGGGUGCUCCCGUGAGCCUCUCCAAUCAGCUCCAACAGAAGUGCCAUUAACUGAGGACAGAUAAGUUGGAUUCUCCCAUUUUCCUUAUUUCUGUCCACUUUUUUUUUUUUCCCCUGCCUUCUUAGUUUUAGCUUUUUAGAGCUUGCAUAGGACUUCCUUUCUUUUAGUUUUGCACUGGGUGUGCAGGGUGAUUUUAUACAGCUUCAUUAUCCAUGUGAGCACUGCAAGUUCCCUGUCUCUGCAUGGCUACAGCAGAGCAGUAGGCUGUGGAACCACUGUGCUUGGAGGGCUUGGCAGUGAGGCAAUAGUUGUUGGGUUUUUAAAUUUGGCAGAGGCAGACAGGCUCUGUCAGUGCUCAUUGCUGCUGAGCUAUCAGUUACCUGCUCUGAGAGACUCCCAGUUCUGCCCAGUCCCCCGGCCAAAUCUCCCAAAAGUCAUCUGGAGGAUGGCUGGGAGACAUAGCCACACAAACUCGGGUGAGAAACAAGAUGUAAUAUGUGUGGCAGUGGAGGGUCCUCCACCUAAAAAUCAGUUAUCAUUACUGGGCUCCUGACUGGAAGAGAGACUUUAGCCAAACCCAAGCCAAAACUGAGCCUGGAAAUCUGGGAGGCAGUGACGGAUGAGCAAUCAGAUUGCUGAUGGUGGUCCCUUCUGGCUCUAGAGAUCCAGAAUAAAAUACUGAAUAAAAGCCUGAAGUGUUCUCUGAGUAGGGUACAAUUGCCUUGAGACUAGUCUUGGUCAACAUCCCUUGUUAUAAAUCCUGUUCUCUUUGGUGGUUCUGGAUGGUUUGGGUCUCUAUAAUUAAAGAAAUAAAAUGUUUUUAAACAAA